rnacentral:tRNA from 1 species
GCUUCCUUAGCUCAGCUGGAUAGAGCAUCUGACUCUUAAUCAGAGGGUCGCGGGUUCGAAUCCCGCAGGAAGUACAA